ACGAAGGUUGCUAGCGUUGUUCGGAAUCACUGGGCUUAAAGAGCACGUAGGCGGCUCAUCAAGUGCCUUGUGAAAUCCCCGGGCUCAACCCGGGAAUUGCUUGGCAUACUGUUGGGCUUGAGGCAAGUAGAGGCGCGCGGAACUCUUGGUGGAGCGGUGGAAUGCGUAGAUAUCAAGAGGAACGCCGGUGGCGAAAGCGGCGCGCUGGGCUUGUCCUGACGCUGAGGUGCGAAAGCCAGGGGAGCAAACGG
rnacentral:rRNA from 1 species